rnacentral:rRNA from 1 species
AACGAACGCUGGCGGCAUGCCUAACACAUGCAAGUCGAACGAGAUCUUCGGGUCUAGUGGCGCACGGGUGCGUAACGCGUGGGAAUCUGCCCUUUGGUUCGGAAUAACAGUUGGAAACGACUGCUAAUACCGGAUGAUGACGAAAGUCCAAAGAUUUAUCGACAGAGGAUGAGCCCGCGUAGGAUUAGCUAGUUGGUGUGGUAAAGGCGCACCAAGGCGACGAUCCUUAGCUGGUCUGAGAGGAUGAUCAGCCACAAUGGGACUGAGACACGGCCCAUACUCCUACGGGAGGCAGCAGUGGGGAAUAUUGGACAAUGGGCGAAAGCCUGAUCCAGCAAUGCCGCGUGAGUGAUGAAGGCCUUAGGGUUGUAAAGCUCUUUUACCCGGGAUGAUAAUGACAGUACCGGGAGAAUAAGCUCCGGCUAACUCCGUGCCAGCCGCCGCUGUAA